GGUGAGACUGCAAACAGAAAAUAUCCAUAUAUACAUCAAGAUAGUAAUGCAAUUUCUAUUCUUGCAGCACCGACGUAAUACGCGGUACUCCGUAAUCGCUCGAGAUUCCAUAUAGUUGUUGAAAUCUCUACGCAUUUGGUAGAUAAAACGUUGCGAGAAAUCCUCUUGUCACAGUUAGGUCUUCCAAACCUGAUCGCUUGCAUUUUUCCCGCUACUUCAGCGUUGCAACGUUACUUUUAUUUCUGCCAACUUAGACACGACAUCGUCUGAACUGCCCAAUUCAGGACACGAUGGCUCCUCCCGGGGAUUCUGUUGAGACGAUCCCGGAUUUUCCGUGUCCUCACCAUUGUAGAGCUCAUAAUUUGUAUAAUUUACCUUCUUCUUCAAGCAUUGUUUUUUAAAUUUCUGCCAUUUUGAAGCUGCUGAUAAUCGCCGGAUGCGUAAAUCAUUUUUAGCUUUGGAAAGAGCGCACGUCAGCAUUGCUUCAAUCCGUAAAUCGCGUCUGCGCUUUCGGCGACACUUUGAUCUUUUGCGGCGAACUUCGUCAAUCCAAGUUAGUAACCGUUCAGUUUCUGGCUUGUCGGCGUUAGUUUUCGAAAGUCCCUUCUUUGUCCUCGCCAUGCUUUCUCAAUUAUUUCACCUAAUUAUUGAGUAAGUAAAAAGUAUACCAACCUGUAUCCGGCUCCUGUUUGUUGUAGAACAAUACAGAAGAGAUUCACACAACUGCACACAAAGGAUUUGAAACCACCGAGCAAAACACCCUCCUCACAGCACAGUCGAAAUAAUCAAUAGCGUAUGAAGGUGUACUGCACGUAUUAUUUGGCACGUACAUUAAUGUUGAUGCAAGAAUAAUUAUUCCAAUGAUUUUAAGUUACACACAUAAUAGAUAAAGUAGGCUGUAGACUAUGAAAUUCGUAUGAAAUAAGCAGAGAAUAGUAACUAAAUAAAUGUAUAUGUAUAUCGAACAUAAAUCUUGUAAAAAUAAUAUAUUAAAUUACAUUCAAAUCAAAUAUAUAAACAAGAUCUGUUGACUUUUAAUUAUUUUUUUGAAGCACUAGUAUCAAAUAAAAUUGCGUCAUAUAAAAAUGUCAUCCCGA